CGAGAUGGCGCCACUGCACUCCAGCCUGGGAGACAGAGCGAGAACCUGUUUCAAAAAAAAAAAGGAAAUAGUAGUGAUGGCUGCACAACAUUGUGAAUGUAAUUAAGGCUACUGAAUUGUAUACCUAAGCAUGGUUAAAAUAGUAAGUUUUAUGUUAAAAAACCAACAACUAAUGUGUAGUUACACUAAGAUCAGUUAAAUUCGCAUUUCUCAGGGUGCUUUUUAUUAGGUUGGUGCAAAAGUAGUUGCGGUUUUUGCCUUUAAAAGUAAAGGUUUGCUCUCUACUAAAAAUACAAAAAUAAUUAGCCGGGCGCAGUGGCAG
rnacentral:lncRNA from 10 species